rnacentral:tRNA from 1 species
UAUAAUUUAGUAUUAAAAUGUACAUAAAUUUUUGAAAUUUAAGGUAAUAAAAUUAAAUUUAUUAAUUAUAA